CAGGAUCCAUGACCUAGUCCUUGAAUGUGCUGAUGUUUGGAGAAGAAAGUCUACUAGUCAGGCUUGUGUCUUAAGAGCAGAAUUCACGUUUCACAAGGCUUCAGUGAAGAAUUUAAUGCCACAAAGUCUGCUUGAAAACUGUUGAAAUCAGUGGCUUGUUCAAUACAGGAAGAUGUAUAGUCUAUUGUUUGUUUACAUUAUUUGAAGUAAGAAACAGUGCCAAUGUCUUAAAUGGGGAAAAAGCCCACAUAG